rnacentral:rRNA from 1 species
CACGUAGGGUGCGAGCGUUGUCCGGAAUUAUUGGGCGUAAAGAGCUCGUAGGCGGUGUGUCGCGUCGGCCGUGAAAACCUGCAGCUUAACUGUGGGCGUGCGGUCGAUACGGGCAUCACUGGAGUUCGGCAGGGGAGACUGGAAUUCCUGGUGUAGCGGUGAAAUGCGUAGAUAUCAGGAGGAACACCGGUGGCGAAGGCGGUUCUCUGGGCAUUACCUGACGCUGAGGAGCGAAAGUGUGGGGAGCGAACAGG